UCCGUAGGUGGAUAAUUAAGUCAGAGGUGAAAUCCUGCAGCUCAACUGUAGAAUUGCCUUUGAUACUGGUUAUCUUGAGUCAUUAUGAAGUGGUUAGAAUGCGUAGUGUAGCGGUGAAAUGCAUAGAUAUUACACAGAAUACCGAUUGCGAAGGCAGAUCACUAAUAAUGUACUGACACUGAGGGACGAAAGCGUGGGGAGCGAACAGGAUUAGAUACCCUAGUAGUCC
rnacentral:rRNA from 1 species